rfam:Felis catus isolate Cinnamon breed Abyssinian chromosome A2, whole genome shotgun sequence.
GGGGGCAUAGCUCAGGGGCAGAGCAUUUGACUGCAGAUCAAGAGGUCCCCGGUUCAAAUCCGGGUGCCCCCU